rnacentral:rRNA from 1 species
UACGUAGGGUGCAAGCGUUGUCCGGAAUCAUUGGGCGUAAAGCGCGUGUAGGCGGUCCGGUAAGUCCGCUGUGAAAGUCGAGGGCUCAACCCUCGAAUGCCGGUGGAUACUGUCGGGCUAGAGUGCGGAAGAGGCGAGUGGAAUUCCUGGUGUAGCGGUGAAAUGCGCAGAUAUCAGGAGGAACACCUAUUGCGAAGGCAGCUCGCUGGGACGUUACUGACGCUGAGACGCGAAAGCGUGGGGAGCAAACAGG